GGCUCAGGAUGAACGCUGGCGGCGUGCCUAAUACAUGCAAGUCGAACGGUCUUUCUAUGGAAGCUUGCUUCCACUGAGAAGAUAGUGGCGAACGGGUGAGUAACACGUGGGUAACCUGCCCAUAAGAGGGGGAUAACAUCCGGAAACGGGUGCUAAUACCGCAUAGUUUUCUUGGUCGCAUGAUCGGGAAAGGAAAGACGGCCUUUGUGCUGUCGCUUAUGGAUGGACCCGCGGCGUAUUAGUUAGUUGGUGAGGUAACGGCUCACCAAGACGAUGAUACGUAGCCGACCUGAGAGGGUGAUCGGCCACAUUGGGACUGAGACACGGCCCAAACUCCUACGGGAGGCAGCAGUAGGGAAUCUUCCGCAAUGGACGAGAGUCUGACGGAGCAACGCCGCGUGAGUGAAGAAAGGUUUUCGGAUCGUAAAACUCUGUUGUCAGAGAAGAACAAGUUGGAGAGUAACUGCUCCAGCCUUGACGGUAUCUGACCAGAAAGCCACGGCUAACUACGUGCCAGCAGCGGC
rnacentral:rRNA from 1 species